rnacentral:rRNA from 1 species
UGGGCGUAAGAGCUUGUAGGCGGUUUGUCGCGUCGUUUGUGAAAACUUGGGGCUCAACCUUAAGCUUGCAGGCGAUACGGGCAGACUAGAGUACUUCAGGGGAGACUGGAAUUCCUGGUGUAGCGGUGAAAUGCGCAGAUAUCAGGAGGAACACCGGUGGCGAAGGCGGGUCUCUGGGAAGUAACUGACGCUGAGAAGCGAAAGCAUGGGUAGCAAACAGGAUUAGAUACCCUGGUAGUCCAUGCCGUAAACGGUGGGUACUAGGUGUGGGGCUCCUUCCACGGACUCCGUGCCGUAGCUAACGCAUUAAGUACCCCGCCUGGGGAGUACGGCCGCAAGGCUAAAACUCAAAGAAAUUGACGGGGGCCCGCACAAGCGGCGGAGCAUGUGGAUUAAUUCGAUGCAACGCGAAGAACCUUACCUGGGUUUGACAUACACCGGAAACCUGCAGAGAUGUAGGCCCCCUUGUGGUCGGUGUACAGGUGGUGCAUGGCUGUCGUCAGCUCGUGUCGUGAGAUGUUGGGUUAAGUCCCGCA